AUGCAAUUCAUAGUGAACAAGGCGUAUGCCAAGAAGCGACCGCGGUACCCCAACGAGUGGUUCGCCAUGCUCGCCUUUCUCACCACCGGCCACCAGCGUGCCUGGGACGCCGGCCGCGGCAGUAGGAAGGCCACCGUGAGCGUCGCGGAGCACUACGACAGCGUAGUGGCCACCUACGUCAGCGAUGCCCAGCUUGGGCACGCCUCCGCGCACCCCAAGGUGCGGUACCUCCACAAACCGGAGGGUCUCUCCGAGGACAACCUCAUUGCUCUUGCCGACGAUGAGGGUUAA
rnacentral:rRNA from 1 species